rnacentral:piRNA from 1 species
UACAUAGUUUCCCUUGUAGUCUGCCUCUGU